rnacentral:rRNA from 1 species
UACGCGGGGUGCGAGCGUUGUUCGGAUUUACUGGGCGUAAAGGGCGCGUAGGCGGCGCAACAAGUCACUUGUGAAAUCUCCGGGCUUAACCCGGAGCGGCCAAGUGAUACUGUCGUGCUAGAGUGCGGAAGGGGCUACUGGAAUUCUCGGUGUAGCGGUGAAAUGCGUAGAUAUCGAGAGGAACACCUGCGGCGAAGGCGGGUAGCUGGGCCGACACUGACGCUGAGGCGCGAAAGCCAGGGGAGCGAACGGG